CAACUUCGCCGCUUGAAAUGUUUUUUCAUAGAAAUCCCGAAAAUGUACAUUGAGACUUGUCGCAGUACCAAAUGCUUGCCUCCUCUGAGAAUGUGCUUGAAACAAGAAUGUCCUGGAGAAAACAGACCGUCACAAGAGAAGAAGGAGGGCUUCCUGUAGAAAGAUCAUGGGGUGCCUUGAGGUUCCGACCUUGAAUUUCUGCCCUUUACCUCAAAGCGAUGGCCUCUUGGAGGAGCAAAGCACAAUGGACUGGUGCCUGUACAUGUAAUGCAAAAGCUCAUGAUGAUAUGGUAGACAAGACAAGGACCUUGCUGUCUAAAGCUCAGAGACCAGAUGACAGUGUCUGAACCAGCUUGUCAGAAUUGGUUACAAAGAUGCAAGUGGGCUUGUCUUCAGUAGUUAAAGAGGAGCAGUCAGCUGAAGGAGCACCCAACUCCAAAACAAUGUGGAUACUGGAUACUUCUCUCAAGUUCAUCACUAAUCAGACAUGGCUCUUCAGGAAUCAAGAUGAGACAGUGGCGGUAGAGGAGUUUGUGACCCUCCUGACUGUGGACUACUUGCAAUAUACAUGUACUAAAUUAAUGGAUUGUAGAACUACUGCACAAAACUCGACCAGUCAUGCUUGAACAAAUCGUAACAAACACUUGUUGAAGCAUUGAUUUAUGUA